GCCAGUGUAGCAUAGUGUUUUGAGUGUUGGUCUGAAACUCUGGAGAUCAGGGUUCAAUUCCCCACUCAGCCA